ensembl:lncRNA
AAAGGAUUCAGCGACGUAAUCCAGUCUAAAUUCUUUUUUUUUCUUUUUUUUGAAAUGACAUCAUUGCUGGCAGUAGAAACUUAUUGCGUCACGAGAGGUUCUACUGUCAGCAAAUAAAAAAUGAGUGGAGUGACAUUGCUUAAGGAAAGUCACCGAUUAAAUUGUGGAAUAAAUUGGGAUGGUUAGGAUACAGGCUCUGGGUGGAGCUGGGAGUUAAACAAGCUAAACAUUUAAUUGCUGACUGAUGUUUUUACACAGGGUUACAGGUUGGAGUAUGGCUGCUCCAAGGGACAAACCCUGGAGAUUGUUUUAGGGGGACUGUGCAACAUUCUUGUACAUGUCUCAUUGGGGAGUUGACACAUGGUGGAAGUCAUGUGGCGAGAGGAGUGUCAUUUUAAUUUGCAGAUGUCGUGAGGUGCCAUGACGAGAAGGAGUGACUGAGAGGAUCGUCCACAAGAUGGAAGCUGAGGCCAGGAGAGAGGCUUCAGGAGUAUUGGAGAUCACCUUCGGCACAGAGAGCUGUGCUACUGGGCUUCCAGGAGAUCGUCAUGAGGAGACUCUGCACAGCAAAAUCUUAAAUGAGAUAAAAGAGUUUCGACGUUGAGGAAGACAACUAAGGUGUACGACGUGCUCUGCCUUUAAAAUCUUCAGCAACAUUGAAUCAUGAGAACUUGAGGGAGCGUGCCAAGCUCCAAAAAGUGACAGUGCAGAGGAGGUCCAGCGAUAGACUUGUGGUUCUGUGAACAGCACAAAUGCCAGGUGACUGUGAAAUAACUAACAGCACUUUUUUCCACAAGUGAAGCCAGUAACUUACUAUCCUAACAGAUUAGCUCUAGUUGCUUGUGCUUUACCUCCAUGCGUGAGAUCAGUAUGUGCAGCAGCUUAAGCUGUACAAUGUUUCUGGAUAUAGUUUUUCACCUUUUUGACACUGUUAGUUCCACACGAGGUAGAGGUCUUCUACUGCAGACUAAAAUUACAUUUCUGUCACCUACAAGACACUUGUCUUUAAUGUUACUGUUACUCUCAUAACCAUACAUAACCAUAAAGUGGUGCUGUCAGGGGAAAAUUCCCAAAUAGAAAGCUGCCAAAGUAAAACAGAGACACAGUGAGACAAUAUAAAAAAUCAUAUGUACAAUGGGUGAACUCUCAGGAGAGUCACACAGUGCUCUUCUUUAUUGUAGGUUACACAGCAGACGGAGGCAGUCUCCGCCUAUUCUCAGAAUAUAUUGCUUAACUGACAAAUGCAUAUCUUACUAAACAUUCUGUCCGUACUAUACUAAACGUCUGCUUAAUGUAGUGAAGUAGAUUUUGGGUUAGGAUGUUACAUGAUGUCCCUAAACGCACCACUGACAUCCACACCUUUCAGCCGACAAUUACCUGGCUAUAAGAAACAGCUGCGCUUCACUACUGAGAGAAGGCAUUUGGCAGUCUUGGCAAUCUAAGGUGGCUGCAGCACUAGGCAGUUGAGCUCCACAUAUCUCUUAAGGAAAGCUACUCAGUUGCCCUUAGAGAGUGUGGAGGUGCGGCCGCUUGUUCAGAGGCUAGGCACAUGAGGUGGAAUCCCCUCCCCGAUGCAUGCGAGUGUACACACCGGGCAUAGGCAGAUUGCACCAUUUAGAGUUUAGUGUGAGUGAGGUUUGCUGUGAAAUCACACGGGUGAGUAAUUGGUGGCACCCUUGGGCACUCCUCCCUGUAGGUUGCCUCCUCAAGUGGCCGGUCUCCACCAUUUUGUCUAGUUGCCUCUUUUAACAUAUUGUGCUUGUUUUAGUGUAGCAUUGUGGUAGGGAGUAUGUCGUUUUAAUCAUUGUUCGGUAAUAAAGUGUUUUAAUUAUUUUACUCUCUUACCCCUGCUACCCUAGGUGCCUUUUUAAUCUUUUAGUUAUGUUUUAGUAGUUCCUCUAAAUAAACUUUUGAAUUAUAAACUUUCUUUGUCUCACCUCUGCCUUUAAAUAACGAGUCUGUGGGCUUUGGUAGCCAGUGCAAUCUUCUCAUUGGCUAGAGAAAUCUUUCCUGGGGUUGUAGCGCCCUCCCCCAGGUGGCGUUGUCACUACUUUAGUAACCGUCCCCGGUUAUCUCAUUUUCGCGACACCACAUUAAGUGGCAUUUUCCGUUGUUCUUUGCACAGGAACUUGUCUUCACAGGCAUUUGAUAAGCAUAGGCAAGGUUUCAUGUUUUAUCAGGGUGAAUCGUCAUUCAGAGUUUACACAAUCACAAGCAAAGCAUAUUUGAAUAAUAAACAAAAUCUUUUCACAGGUGCACAAUUCUGAAUCUGUCAAACCUUUUGCCAACGAAAGAAGAGGGCACUCCUCAUGAGUGUAGAGACCACGUAGAGAAGGAGUGUAAGCCAAGGGAUGACUUACUAGAUGUGCCACUUGGUGAGGGAAAGGUUUGGUUUGUUGAUGGUUUGAGUUUUACAACAGUAGAGGGACAGACUAAAACAGGUUUUACUGUAGUAGAUAGUGAGAAAGUUAUCUGUGCAGGACAACUAGCAUGUUUCAUAUUUGCUUGAGCAGCAGAGAUGCUAGCUUUAACGGAAGCAUGUAAAGCUGCAGAGAAAUAAGAUGUGACAAUAUACACUGAUAGCCAGUAUGCAUUUGCUACGUUACAUUUCUUUGUGGUGCAGUGGGUGAGACGAGGUGUGACAGCCUCUACAGGGAAACCUGUAGAACACGCCAAACUCUGCAAAAUCUGCUGGAGGCAGAGUUUUUACCCAGUAGGAUUGCCGUUUGUAAAUGUGUAGCACACAUGUGACGGCAAGAUCCAGUUGCAUUAGAGAAUGCUUUUGCAGAUAAGAUCGCGAAAGAGGCAACUUUAGGAGAACAUGGUGUUAACGUUUUAGCAGUGCAACGCCAGCAGACGUUGGCUAUUAUGCGUGAUGCACUGGUAGACAUGCAGGGCCACUCAUCUACUGCAGGGAAACAGUUGUGAUUUACAGUAGGAGCGAGCCUGUAGGAUGGUGUUUGUUAUCUGUGUGAUAAACCAAUACUGCCUUAGAAUUUGUAUAAGACUGCUGCUAUUUUGCGCCAUGGGCUUUGCCAUGUCGCAACAGGAGGGAGAUAAUGAGUAGUUUAUACUUUACAAUUAAAUACCCUUAACAAAAUAAAUAAAUAAAUUUUUGCAGGUCAUGUAUGAUAUGUUCAAGCACAAUUCUCGGCGUAAUUUGAGAUCUAAGAGAGGGAAAUUCCCCAGACCCAGUCACCCAUUUCAAGUUAUUCACAUGGACUAUAGAGCUGUCCAGCUGUAAUAACUAUGAGUAUUGUUUAGCGAUGAUGGUUCACAUUUUGUAAAUGAAGUGAUUGGAUUAAUGGCACAACAUCUAGGGAUAACACUAAAAACGUCAUUGUUCAUAUCACCCACAAAGUGCAGGGUUGGUAGAGAGAACUAAUGGAAUAGUAAUGUUAAGACUUAGGAAGAGACACGCAGGACAUGGUUAAACUGUAUAGAAUUAGUUAAGAUGUACAUGAGGAUUACUCCAACAGAGAAUGGUUUGACUCGUUGAGAUUAUAUAUGUUAGAGUAUUUAGAGUUCUAGUCUUCUGUAGUGAUGAUAGGAGAGCAGAAGAGAGAGCAUAUUAGCAGAUUAGAUGCUUAAAAUGUUUAAAAGUAAAGAAGUCUUGAGAACAAAUGAUCUGCCAGAUGAUUCUGUUUCUCCGCAGGAGCAGAGUCUGAAGUCUGGAGAUUGGAUGUUGACAAGGCCAUGGAGAGGAAGUCCUGGUCCAGUCCACGGUGGGAAGGUCCAUAUCGGAUGCUGCUGACGACGACCACAGCGGUGAAGUUGCUGGAAGGAACGCUUGGAUACAUCAAGCGCACUGCAAGAAGGUGACACACAUCCAGGCCAGCUCGGGGUAAGUGGCAGGAAGACCGGGUACAAAGGGGGGGGAAAGCCUCCAGGGCCCCUCGUCUCAAUCCGGUGAAGAAACCAACUGAGCCACAGGUACUCAUCAGAAUGGCUGGGAAUGUGCUGUGCGCCUUGUGCCUGUUAACUCUGAGUGGGAUGACAGGAGCGCACUGGGACAGAGCAAACCACACCCAGUACCCGCAUGGGGUUUUCAACAACUACUGGUGGCAGUUUGUGAACACAACCGCUCACAUAAAGAACAAGACCAAUGGUUAUGCUUGUGAUGCCACUGUCUACACAUUCUUCUGGACUGUGGCCAUAUAGCAUCACUGAGAGUGAGACAGUUUGUUGGUUGCCGUAGCGACACAUCCAGGAGUAAACGUUCUUGGAACACUGCCAACUUUUCAACUUCUGAACCUGACUGGACGGUUGAUUCACCAGUAGCUGGGAAGGUGAACUGCUCUGGUGCGAUAGACCUGAUAGUCUGACUCCAAGUGUCUGACUUGCUGCAGGACAUUGAACAGCUAAAUGAACGGGAAAUAGGCCAGUUGCCUAUGUGUAUGAAGGGCAAUGGAUUAGUCCAAGUUGGAGAUUUACCAUGAAAUCUGAGCAACGUCACCUAUUCUUUGUGUCCUCUGCAAGAAGGAUGCAAACAGAGAAGCUUUUGUCUACAUUUGCAUCAUGAACACUUCUCUAAGCUGGUUGAGGUUGUGAGCCAAGAAGAUCAAAACAGCUUGAUCCAAUUUCCUUUACAAAGCUUUUCCUGUGGUGACAACAGGACAGGACAAGAGUUGUAAAUGCGGAUAAUUUACCAGUUGACUCUAACCCCCAUAGGAUGCCUAUAGUGAGAAGAUUCGGGGGGUUGAUAGGAGUCAUAAAGAAGGGUGUUGACCAGGCUACAGCUUUGAAGUUAGCUGAGAGCCACAUGGACAAACGAUAAAGUCAACUGAUGUGUUUGAAUGUCUAUGUCUGUAUACAGUUGGAUUGUAGUGACAUUUGAUUUUUGAGAAUGUUGAUUCUUCUUGUUUGACUGUUACAUUCAGUUGUUUACUUGCAGGAAUACAUAAUGAAUCGCACGACAGGAGUAGAUGCACCACAAGGCUGGAUAACUUGGUGAAUGUCUGGUCCUUGGUGGCAUCUUCUUUUGAAAAUAUUAAUUCCUGUUUUUGGACUGUUGACACUGAUUUGCUUACGUAUAGGAUGUAGUUUACUGUGUAUGAGAUCAAUGAGAAGCAGGUUAACUGCUUACAUGUAUUAACUGUGAACUUUUGCAUCGAUAGAAGGUGAAUGAAGAGGAGUUGUGUAUGAAUGAAAUCUACACUGUCACUGUCCAAACAAAGGGUGCAUAAGUUGAAAUUUAAGUAUAUACAAUGACAAAAAGGGGGGAAAUGUUAGGUCUAAUUGUUGAAUGUUGCCAUUGUGUUUCUUAAAUUUGUACAGUCUUAGUUUAAGCAGUAUUAUCAAAGCCAUUCCUUUGAUCCUGACAGUGGAAGGUUAGGGCAUAAUGCUGUCUUUUGGAAAAAUGUCCAUUGCCAGAUCUCUGCUAAUUGGUGGUCAUUGAUGAGCAACAUAUCGAUGCAGCUGUCCUCCACUGUGCAGCACAGUGGUUAGCACUGUUGCCCCCCAGCAAGAAGGUCCUGAGUUCAAUUCCACCAUCUGGCCUCACAUUUCUGUGGUGUGCAGUCUUUCAGGCAAACUCUGCUCAGGUGUGUGCGAAUGGACUGUUGGGGCUUUAUGCAAAGUAGGCAAUACACAACGUUUCUCUCCAUCUUGUUUGCAUUGUAAAUACAAAGAGUGAGAGAGAAAAACUCUGCAUAUCAAUUUAGUAUAUUUUCCGACAUGAAGCGGUUUUUGGUUGUGUCUGCUUAUGAUUUGAAACAGGUCUGAAAUUAGAGAAAUUCAACAAUCACUAUAUAUACAUAUAUACAUUGUGAUUGCGGUCCUCCAGCCUGAGGACCGUCCCACUCUGGAGGAGAUCCUGUUACAUCUCUGGAUGAAGUCAGGGGUAAUGUGAUGUGUAAUUUCACUGUCAGUCCAGUGAUGCUCCAAUUCAAAGUUGACAUUCCUUUGGCAAUGACUCCAUCUAGUGGUGAAAUUGCUGAACUGCAUGCUCAGUCACACAUGGAAGAAAGCAUGUGCCUAAUUUUUGGACCAUUACUGAGCUUCCACUUGAGAAUACCUUUUUGACAUUUGGGACUUUUUGUAGUCAUAUUCUCAGCCUGCACAGAUGACAAGGAACAGAGAGAUAAACAUGUCUCUCAGUGAGUCAUAAAUUUUUCAUAUAUUUUAUAUUGUACAAAUAGUUCAUAAACAGUUACAUUUUUUCCUCAAUUUGAUUCAAAAGACAAAAUGAAACGAAAAGAAUAAAUUCAAAUAAAAAUAAAAAUGUAUAAAGCCAUUGAUUGAAUUGUCAGAUCCUGCUAUUUUCUGCUGGUCAAAAUCAGGGUGCGUUCAGGCAAAAUCAGUUUGAAAAAUAUAAGUCAGUGCAGUACUGUUUAAAUACAGGGAGUUUAUUGAAACACAAAGAACUUCAACAAAGCAACAGAGAAACUAAAAAGCUUGUUAUAUAUGCAUGUAUAUAUGAAAACACAGGUUUCUAGCUAUAGCACAAUUUCCCAUGGGGCAACACCUCGCACAUGUUUUGUAGCUGUACCAAAGAGGGACGAAAUAACAAAAGAAAAAAGAGAAACAUAUUUGUCAAGAAAUUUUACCCCCCCAAAAAAGUGGCAUUUAAAACAUGAUAUUCUACUGCCUUCUGGGGGAGGGAAGGAACAACGGUUUUUCUCCUUCUUGCCCCCCUCUGGUGUACAAUUUCUUUUUUUCCCCCCCUGUCCCGCUUGGAUCUUUAGCCAUCAGAAUUGUUGUCUUAAGGCCAAGAGAGAUGCCAAGCGGAUUUACUUUACCAACUGGAUCAUCAUGGCCUUGCCAUAUUGGUCCAUUUGAUUGACCUUUAUUAUAAUUGUGUAUUUUAUUUUAUUUUCAGUUGUUACAGUCGGGACAGACAUGACUGGGAGAUAGGACAGGGAGAAAGAAUGAAAGAAAGAGAGCGAGAGAAAGGAAAAAUUGAGGGGAGAAGAGAUGGCGAGAAAGGGGAGAAGAAAGAAAGAAAAACAAAACACCUGGCUCACCUGUAUGGAGAGAAAAAACAGAAGAGACAACAAACAAACAAACAAAAAAAACAAAAAACAGCUACAUAAUAAAUACAGCACCCUCUGGUGUACAAUUUCUUCCUUUUUCCUGUUUAAAAAGAGUUCACAUAUUUUGUCAUUUGACUGUAAGCAGUGCAUGGAGGAGAUGCUCGUUUUUUGCACGACGGUCUGCCACUUCAGCCUUCCCUUUCUUUAUAAGGCUGGAAAAGGCAGGGAGGGGCCUGAGGUGGGGUCUGAACUGUGGGCACCGGUAUGAGGAGAGAAGGGGGGCAGGACUGGAUGGUGGGUUAAGGUUAGGAUUUGGUUGGGGGUGGGGGAAAUGGGAUUGAAACCCCUCCCUGCCUGAGGAGGGGUCUGAACAGUGGGGUAGACUUUUGGAAUCUCAGCUGAAACCCACAUUUGCCAGGGUAAUCUGUCAUAACUGGAACAGUGGAGGCUGGAGGUGUAAUGCCGUCUUUUUUUAAAAUGUCAUUUGGAAGCUCAGAGAUUUUCAUCAAAGUUUUCAGCUAAUUGCUGCUCAUUGAUGAUCUGAAACAUCUCCAUGGUGUCAUCUGGCCUCCAGGUUUCAUCAUGACCCGUUGUACUGCUGUUCACAGUUGAGAUAGUGUCAAAACUGACAGAGAUUCAGUCACAGGUAGCUGUUCCCACAGCUCUUUAAAUGAAUUCUGGCUGAAGGGUAGAUUCUGAUUAAAAACCAAAAUGCCAUCCUGCCUCAGUUAAAAAGGUUCCUAAAACUGUACUGCCUGAUCAGUCACUGUACACUGACAUACUGUUGUGUUCAGUUAUGUUUUUCUGUUCUUUUCUUUUUUAAAACAUUUGCUUUUGAAAAAAAAAAAAAAAACCUAUGUUCCUAAUUUGGUUAGAGCCGUUCAAGCAGUAAGGGGCCUGAGGAGGGGUCUGAACUGUGGGCAGCGGUAUGAGGAGAGAAGGGGGCAGGACUUGAUGGUGGGUUAAGGUUGGGGGUGCGGGAAAUGGGAUUGAAACCCCUCCUUGCCUGAGGAGGGGUCUGAACCGAGUGGGGUAGAGGCUGGAGUGGAAAAUGGGUUAGGGUAGAAAGGGAAGGGUGAACUGCAAGACAGUCACACAAAACGCAAUCAUCUCCUUGCACUAAAGUGGCUGCAAUCAGCUGGAGGUCCAGGCUUCAGUGGAUGAGGGUACAGGUACUCAACAGGUACAGGGGGCAGCCACGGCAUGUUGGUCAUGAACUGUUGAGAUGGAGAUGAAUAGCUGCUGGGGUAAAAACACAACAACCCAACUAUGGAAGGCUCCUCACAUACCCUCGAGGACACUGGGCAAACCGCACUCAAUGAGGGCACCUCAAGAGCCGAAAGAAACAUCCAAAAUUAUUGUUUUCAGCCUGCUAACACAAACCGAAGUGCUUUGUCCAAUGGGAAUCCAAACAGAAGCAUGAGAGGGAGAGAAAUAAAAAAAAGGAAGAAAAAUCUUUUCAUUUCAGACUGUUGAGGCACACUUGGUUGAGUGGAGCUUCAGUGGCACUGUAAACUGUCUCAAAACACAUUCACUUCAGUAAUUAUAAUCUUUUAAACGGCAGUAGAUCAAACAAGCAACAAGAAAAACUACUCUCGUUCAAUGUAACAAAAAGCACUGUAACAGCUUCAUAUAGCAGAAGCUUCUCCUGACCACUGGAGCCUAGCUGAUUCUACAAUGAACAGAAUAAACAAUAAUUGAAAGAAGAAGAACUUAUUUCUGUCCAAAGGACCCGCUGAGCAUUGGAACUUAAGAAAGGUGAAUCACACCACUACUCUCCUCCCACUUUUCAAGGCUUAUGGGGGAUGCCUCAUUUACACACUGGUUCCACUGUUCUAACAUACACAUUGCAGCUCUACUGGUCGAGUGAAUGUUGUCCUUCUCUGUGCUGAAUAUCAAAGUAGGAAGUACAGGAAUCUGUUCAUCUAAACCUGUAAUAAAGUUGUUCAGAUGCAACGAUGUGGCUUGUUCUUCACAAAGAAGGGCCUUAGAAAGAUUGCUUACUGCUCUGCCUUUAGUCCCAUUUUCAGCUCCAUCACUGGUAUUCAGUCCAAAGUUAUAAAACCAGAUUUUCCACAGUGUGCUUUCUCCAGCUGGGCCUCACCGGGUGGCAACAUUUCGCUCAUGGAAAUCUGUCGAUCUGUACCCCUCUGCUUUAUAGGACGGAGGAGUCUGUGCACAUUGGAGUCACCGAUGAUCACCGAUAUUUUCUUCACAUGAAGAUUCCAGUCCUGGAGUUUCCUCUGUGUGUUGGGGUCUCUCGUUGGAGUGCAGACCUGUCGUUCUGGUGAGGAUGGUGAGGAAGGGAGACAAGAGGAGGAGUCCUCUGUUAUUCUUGUUUGGAGGCGGGUCUGCACACAAUUUUUCAAUCUGUGUAGGUGUGUGAGUGUAACUCAAAGCUGUAUUGUUUCAGUGAGGAGUUGACACGGUUAUUCCGCUUUGUCGUUUCCCUGCUCACCUGUGGCUGUCAUUCUUGUUUACUGGGUUUGUCACUGCUGAUGUGGUAGCUGGAUUCCAGUCUGCUAGCUUGGCUAUAACCACCGCCUGGUUCUGGUCCAACGAGUCGGGCUGGAGACGGCGGCCCAGGUUCCGUUUCUCCCAGGAUGGUGCCAUCUCAAAGGGGCCUCUCUAGAAAACUGAAAACAAAUUUUAAACUCAUACUCUAUGCUUUGGUUAUAAUGGUCAUGGAGGAUAACAAUUGAUCUCUCAGCCCAGUUUUUAGCAUCUCCUCAAUUACAGUCUGUGUCCUUCUAUUGGAGAUAGCAGGUCUAUUAUUUAUUAUUUUAUCAGUCCUUUAUUUAUCCAGGUAAAAAUCUCAUUGAGAUUAAAAAUCUCAUUUCCAAGAGAGACCUGUCAUCAUUCGAACAAAAGUCACAUACCACAUAGGUAUAUAACAUUUAAAACAAAUACAAUAUCCCAUACCAACGUGUGUAAAAUAUACAAUAACAGAUCAAAUUAAGAGUACAUUAAAAACAAUCACACUGAGUAAAAGAGCUGUUCUCUCGUUCCUUUAAGACAGACUUAAACUCUCCCAAUGUAAGCAAUUCUGAUAAUUUCAGUUCCUUCUGCAGAUUAUUCCAGGAAGCAGGGGCAGCAUAUUUAAAAGCCUUUUUCCCCAAUUCUGUUCUGAUUUUUGAGACAAUCAAUUGUAUGAUAUUGUGCGAACGAAGGCUGUAUUGGUUGUGGUUUUUACACAUAAACACAUAAAUAAGAUGGAACCAGCCCAAGGAGAGAUUUCUAGAUAAAGAGCAACCAAUGGGAGAGUCUGCGAAUAUGCAAAGAUGGACAUUUAGCAGCAGCAUACAAAGAAGAAUGUUGUACACGAUUUCCAUAGCUAGUAAUAAAACGUAAAGCACAAUGGUACACAGUAUCCAACCUCUUUAGGUAGUGGGCAGGUGCAUUCAUAAAAAGCAGGUCACCAUAAUCCAAUAAAGGUAAAAAAGUUGCAUGAAUCAAGUGUUUUCUCACUUGGAGGGAGAAACAGGAUUGGUUUCUAAAAAAGUAACCUAGUUUUAGUUUGAACUUCGACACAAGCCUUUGAAUGUGAGUCUUAAAUGACAAAUUCUGAUCUAUAAUGAUCCCUAGAUACUUGUAAGAUGUGACCAUUUCAAUUUCAGUUCCUUGAAUUGUUUUAAUCUUAGGAGACGUAGCUAACAACUCUUUGCCAUUUGAGAAUAACAUGAACUUGGAUUUCUCUGGAUUUAACACCAACUUAAGUUGAGUUAAAUGGGACUGAACGACAUCAAAGGCAGACUGCAGAAAUUGCAGGGUUUGUGCUACUGAAGGGGAUGAACAAUAAACUAUUGUUCAUCAUUAUUGUCUCUUAUCAUUAACAGAAAUAAGAAUAGUCUAAUCAAAGUUACUAAAUUUGUGGUUAUUCUUAUUCAGAAAUUGAUGAUAACUGUCUUCUGAAACAUUUUUCAGAUGAUCAACCGCUUUAAUAAGUCUGUAAAUUUUAAUAAAAAAAAAAAGUGUGGAUCAUCCGAUUGUACUCUAUUCCUCCGAGGUUCAGCUCUUUCAUUCAGGGUGGAUUUUACCUAUCGUUUGUCUCUGGCCACUCCUCGAUCAAAUCUCCGAUCUCCACCAGUCUGUACAAGGUAACAGAUCGUGUUGUUUUUUCAUCUUAGGCUUCUUCUGGGUUAGGCCUUCCUGUUGUUCAUGGUGCAAGAUGGGUGCCUUUGUUGACCUAGGAGGGAGAGCUGGAGACAGGUAUUCUGAAAUUGCCUUCUUUCUUUCUUUCUUUCUUGUUUUUUUUUUAAAGUAAUUUAAGAUGGGCUACGUAAAAGGUAUUUGCACAUACCAAGGCAACUCUUUGGAUUCCGCGUCCAUAAACAUCCCACAGUUCUGAAACAUGGUUUUCUCCACACAGAGGAUGGGAGAGGAGGAGGGGUGAGGAGGGGAGAGCCAGAUGGGGAGGGUUCUGUGGGCUCACAAAAUGGAGGUGGUCUGGUCUGAUGGAUUCCUCAAGCAAACGUGUGCGGUGGCAUUUUUAUUUUCACAUAAAUAACAUUUGGGUGGAAGGAAUCGGAUCCACCGUAAGGCUUCUUUUUAAACAUUUUUUCCCCGUUGUCGUAGCCGUUAACUUUUUAAGUGUUGUGUCUAUCCCGGUACUGUUUAGUGGAAGUUCUCAACAAGAGAAAACUUGUUUUUCUCCACACCAAACUCCACACAAAGGAAGGGAGAGAAGGAGGGAUGAGGAGGAGGUGAGGAGGAGGGGUGAGUGGGGAGAAGGGAGGCUGAAAUAUGAACAGGGAAAUGAAUUUAGACCCCUCCCUGCCUAAAGGGAGGGGCACAGGUAAGGAGGUGAGGACGAGGGGGGAGAGGGGAGAAGCGGAUUACCAUGGAGAGUAAAAAUGUCAGAGGGCAGGGCAGGAGGCAGCCCUCUGACUUUUUUUUUUUUUUUUUGCUUUACCAACUGAAAACUUUACUCUCCAUGGUAAUCCGCUGUUACCGGGACAGUGGAGGGUUGGGGUGUAAUGCCGUCUUUUUGCAAACUGUCCGUUGCCAGAUUUCUGCUAAUUGUUGGUCAUUGAUGAGCAACAUAUCGAUGGCGCUAUCUGUCCUCCAUAUCUCUUUCCUCUUCUGCUCAUCUCCUCUGCCCCGCAUGCCUUUUAGAUGCAUCCUACAAGUGUAGAGCAACACAUAAUCAGUUACUGCUCGUUAGGGUUUGUAAUAAAAAGUAUACUAAAAGACUGUUAGUUCAGUCUUUCCUGUUCUUGUCAUCUUCUCUGCUCCUCAUGAUAAAAGAUUUUUUUUAAAAAGUCUUACCUGUUUGUUUCCGACAUGAAGCGGUUUUUGGUUGUGUCUGCUUAUGAUUUGAAACAGGUCUGAAAUGAGAGAAACAGGAGAUUUUUCCUGGGGAAUUAUAAGACAGUGGCGUCCCGUUUUCCUUCUCAUUAAUCAUAUGAGAAGAAUGAAGGCGUUUUAAAGAUUUUUGAGUUGAGGUUAGUCCUUCUGCAGCUAUCAGUUUUCUAAAGACUUCGUCCUCCUCAUACUGCAGACUGUUUAGGAAACUUGGCUCAGAGCUGCUGAAGUUCUUGACUGUCGUACAUUUGUGGUUAGUCUGAUGAAACUCAUUUUCAGUGUACUGACUGAAAGUGAACAGGGUCCUGACUCCACGUCUGUGGUAGAGGUUGACUGUCAUCUUGUGUAAAGGUGGCAUCAGAGACCCUCCUCUUAUUCUGUGGUGGUUCACACUUUCCAGGCUUCUCUUCUUCAGAUUCACAGUAUACAUUUUGUAAAGUUGAAUGGUUUUCUGAAUGUGCCUGCCAUAAUUCUGUUUCCUUCUCAGUCACAUUUCUAAUUUUACACUCGUCAACUAAAACGGGCUCAAAGUCGGAGUUUUCAAGACCAACAAUCCGCCCUCGUUUUUUCCCUGACGCUGUGGCUGUCGGUGUAGCUGAGUCAGAUAAGAUAAGAUAAAACUUUAUUAAUCCCUCGGGUGGGUUCCUCUGGGAAAUUCGGUAUGAUGAUGAAAGAGGCUGCACUGAAUCCAUGUUUGGUGGCUCACAAGUGCACAUCUUAUUGAGAACUCUCCGAGGAGCUGUGAAAAAGGCAGAUAUGGAGCUCUGUUUUUUUGGCAUUUCUGUUUUGGUCUGAGUGAAGUUGAGUGCCACAGCCAAACUGUAUCCAGCACCUUCACAAAAGUGGUUCAGCAGUUUAGAAAUGGGUGUCAAAUGCAGUAUUUCUCUCCGAGCUGAGGGCCACGAGUCACCUUUCCGGCUCCAGAAGGUCCAAGCAGUAUGGCCCAAAUAACAAACAAAAACAUGAGUGCUGACAUAUGGCUGUAUGCAUGAAUAAAAAAAAAGAAGAAGAAAAGAAAUAACAUGCUGGUGCAAAAAUAUCCCAAACACAUUCCCAGAUUGCCUAACUUUUCAUCUCCAGGCUGCAUGAAUUUGAUUUAUGAGACUAGAAUUACAUUAAUAUAGGAUCCCAGUGUGUGCACUUCACAGCAGGCAGAGACAGCAACUUGGCCACAAAAUGGCAUAAGGGAUGGUUUCUUCAGGGGACAGACUGCAUGUUAUAAACUAAACCAUGAAAAUGUAGAGUUUCACCAUCGUUGACAGCAGUUUUGUCUUAAACUCAUAUAUUUUGCAGUGAUACUACACACCGAUAUAGUGUCACUAAAAAGGCACAAGGUACCAGAUCAUGUUGUUUUGUCAUGUUAGGCUUCUUCUAGUGUCGGCCUUCCUGUUGUUUGUGGUGGAAGAUGGGUGCCUUUGUUGACCUAGGAGGGAGAGCUGGAGGUGCUUGGUCCAUUUUAAUGCAGAAUAAAUACAUCACACAGUCAAAAAUGUGUUGAUCUCAAAUUCCAUCCAUCUUCUUCUGCUUCUCCAUGGCCCGGUCCCAGUGCCAGCAGUCCAAGAAAAAUUAAAGCAAGGACAAAAGGAAUGUGACACGUUCAGGUAGUCUGUUAUAAUGAUAACCCAGAGAUGUGCUCUUAACUCUGGUGGGAACUAACAGGUAUUCUGAAAUUGCCUACUUUUUUUUUUUCUUCUUUCUUUAAAUGCAAUUUAAGCUGGGCUACGUAAAAGAAUUUGCACACGCCAUGAUAACUCUCUGGAUUCCGGGUCCAUAAACAUCCCACAGUCAAAAAUGUGGUGUUCUGAAAUUGCCUUUAUAAAUAGAGACCAUUUUCAGACAUAGCAGUCUUGAAAAGCCAUGCCCUUCAUUUCUCCUCUGCAACCGUAACCCUGUGAUGGCAGCCUCUUCCCCUCUCUUUCUCUGUUCUCAGCUGAAGCUCCAUGUCCUAUUUCUUCAUGAAAACUGAAAUCUCUGUCAGAGUCAUGGAGAUCUUCUCUGCAGUCCCUGCAUCUUUUAUGGGAGCGCUUCUGAACUCCUCUCAGGCUCUUUUACUGGGUCUUGUGUGUCUUUGAGUCUCUGGUUUUUAAAUGCACAGAAUAAAAUACAAAAAAAAAAAAACUUGAAAGAGAUUUCCCUGGCAUGGAUUUUAUAGCAGAUAACCUUAAAAAUGUUCUGCAAUUAUACAAAAUUUGAAAAAGUUUACAUUUCUUCAGUAUUGAACUGCAGAAAAUAAGCCUUCUUGUCCGAGGUCAUUUAAGUACAAAGAAAAUAAAACACAGCGGCCGCCAGCGCUAUAAACAUCGGUAGACUGAUGGGUAAUAAGCGAAUGAACUAGAAAGCGAAAAUUUCAGAAGAAAUUUUAAGUGUGGCUAUGCCGCUGGUAAUCAGUGUAGUUUGCCAUUCAUACGGCUGCUUAGGGCAAAACUCAGAAGAGCAGCCAUUCUCCACCAUGAACUAUGGUAAAAACAAACACCGCUCACGCUUCACAGAUGACAGCUUACAGUUUUGUGUAAAGAUGAAGUUACUUCGUACCGCGCCGAUUUGCAGAUGCUGUGCACACAGGUUCAUGAGCAGAAGUCCCAUUGUACCACGGCAGACCCGACAAUGUUUGCACGAACACGCUUUGAAGCAUUAUGUUAUGGACCACUUUUCACACAUGGUUGGUUUACCCACACAGCCGGCUGUAGCUUUUCAACUUACAGCCCGACACACACCUUAAAAACAGCCGAGAGAGCACAGACUACGCCCGAGAGUCGUGAUUGCAGAUGCUGCUCAGGUGGGUCCACUUCCCCUGCAGCGGCACUGCAGACCACGCCCCGCCACACACAUCAAACACGUAAAAUAAAUAUUUAUGCACUUUUGCAUUCACUUUUUGGUUUUUGUUAUUUUUACACAGUGCUCUGAAUGAUGAACAAUGGUCUACAGCCAAUCUUGUGUAUUAUUAUACAAACUUUGGCUGUAAGAUUCAGAUAACUAUUUAAUAAAAGCUAAAUAUUUUAUAGCGCUAUAUAAAUCCAAUGCAUUAUUAUUAUUAUUAUUAUUAUGAUGAUGAGAGAAAGAAAUCAAAGUAUAACUUUGUGUCCACCUUUCCCUGUUAAUGCCCUACCUGGCCCCCUGGCAAAAGGGGGGCCAGCUAGCGGCGCUGUCGCUACCCGAUCCGUACCACAAACCCGAUCGGUACCCUGCAUGCGCAAAUCUUACGUCACUUCCUCUCUUUGCCAGCAUUGCGACAUUCAAUAUAUUUGAAUGAUACAGUUAGUGGGCAGCACGGUGGUUAGCACUGUUGCCGCACAGCAAGAAGGUCCUGAGUUCAAUUCCAACAUCAGGCCGGGGUCUUUCUGUGUGGAGUUUGCAUGUUCUCCCCGUGUUUGCGUGGGUUCUCUCCGGGUACUCCGGCUUCCUCCCACCGUCCAAAGACAUGCAACUUGUGGGGAUAGGUUAAUUGGAUAAACCAAAUUGCCACUAGGUGUGAAUGUGCGAGCGAAUGUGAGUGUGAAUGGUUGUCUGUCCUUGUGUGUUGGCCCUAUGACAGCUGGGAUAGGCUCCAGCGCCCCCCGCGACCCUGAAAAGGAGAAGCGGAAGCGAAUGGAUGGAUGGAUACAGUUAGCGCCCAGUUAGCUCCUAGCAUUUCUCAACAGCUCUGCCUCCUUUUCGACUACCGGGACAUUUAAACAAUGGAUAAUCCGUAUACAAACAAAUUCAUGCUUUUCUCCUCAACAGACAGCGUCCCCCGAUUGAACAAAAGCUCCGUAAAAUAAUAAGAAUGGCGCCUAAUUACAGACUUAAUAAUACAGACUUUGUAAUAGGUCACGUGAAGAUU